AUUGAACGCUGGCGGCAGGCCUAACACAUGCAAGUCGAACGAGUGGCGGACGGGAGAGUAAUGUCUGGGAAACUGCCCGAUGGAGGGGGAUAACUACUGGAAACGGUAGCUAAUACCGCAUACCAUCGGAUGUGCACAGAUGGGAUGAGAUAGUAGGUGGGGGAACGGCUCACCUAGGCGAAGAUCCCUAGCUGGUCUGAGAGGAUGACCAGCCACAGUGGAACUGAGACACGGUUCAGACUCCUACAGGAGGCAGGAGUGGGGAAUAUUACACACUGGGCUCAAGCCUGAUGCGGCAAGGCCGCGUGUAUGAAGAAGGCCUUCGGGUUUUAAAGUACUUUCAGCGGGGAGGCGUUACUCGCAGAAGAAGCACCGGCUAACUCCGUGCCAGCAGCCGCGGUAAUAC
rnacentral:rRNA from 1 species